UGGUUUUAGACAGGUCACUGGCCAGAUUGAAAUGCCAUACACAUUGUCUAGAUAAGGCAAAUAGCUGACUGAAGAAGGCAUCCCCCAAUAUUGAGGUUCUGAAAUACUCUGUUGAUCUGAAAUUUUAUGAUCAUCCAAUCAUGGCCCAGAAAUAACAGCCAGGAUUCCCCAUGCCCAAGAAACCUUCCACUGCCUGGCCUAUGACAAUUUUAGAAGAUCUCACCAUUUCAAAGAACUUAAAAUAUAAUGAAAACACAGACCUAUGUAAUAAGAAGCAUUAAAGAGAUUGCAAUCUACUGCUAAAUCAACUGUUUGCAGGACGUGUGUGAUACUGACGGCAGGGAGCAGAUGCCUGGUUUUUAUUUCCCUCUUUACUGCUGACUUACUGUACAACUUUUAUCCAUGCAAUUAACUUUUUUAUUCUUGAUUCACCUAAUUUAACUAUAAUGGCCAUUAUGAAAAUCACCAAAACAUGUAUUUAUUUUCUUCUCACUUACCUUUUUGUGUUACCAACAUAUGUAAAGAAAUUCUUUAGGGAACUUUAUAUUGUUAGAUGUUAUAUCAUCUCUCUAAUAUUGUUUUUCUCAUUUUUUCCCUCUGUCUUUGGUAGCAUUCAGUCAAAUGCUUUCUAAAGCUAGGAAGGAGAAAGAUGAGAAAGAAGGCCCUAUUUGAUUUCCUCAAUCUAUUAAACUACAAGUCAUAGUAUACUGGUGGAUUAUAUAAUUAUUUUAAUGGAUUACAAUAAAAUAUGAC